rnacentral:lncRNA from 10 species
CCUGCGUUCCAGACGAGGCAGGGCCUGGUGAGGACCUAUGAGGGGUGAGGACCCUGAGUCUGGAUGGAGGCAGCUGGGGUCAUUGUUGCGGUGGCAGGGGUGGGCCACUUUCCACAGGGGACGACUUCCCGGGCCUGCUGCUGCCUCGGCCUCACUGCCUGUCUGUCUGGAGUCUGUUUGUGGUCUGUCCGAGACCAUGUCUGCCCCUCGCCUGCACCACCACGACCUGGGCAAGGAGGGCUGAGCACUUCGCAGGGUCUGGGGGUGCCAUUAUCCAGCACGGAGUGAUAACCCAAGUGAGCAGCUCAGGGAUCAGGACCUGAGGUUUUCAGCACAAACGACAAGAGGUUCAAGUAGAAAAGCAGAAGCGGAACAUGCAAUAUGCAGCCCGUGCCUGGCUUCCCUCACUCAGCUUGACGAAAUCACAGAACAGAUUGUUCUCAAGGAGGCCCCCGUGGUGUUUUCCGGAGCUCCUCUGCCAGGUCUCCAGUUGCGGCAGGGUCCACGUCGCCCCUCCCCUUGGCUCUGGGUUGGCCUUGUCACCAACGUAGGUGGUGGGGCCACAUGGUGCCACCUGCUCCCUCUGCACACCUCUGGGCCCACCAGGUCCUAGUGGGCUGGCAUCUGCUGCGGGGGCUCUGGUGUGGGUGGAAACACUGGGUCCCCCCAGGCUCCUCCUCAUCCCCUGCUCCCAACUUCUUCCUCCAUCCCCCAACAGCCCUCAGAGCUCAAGGGAGGGGGCAUUGACAAAGGGUCUCCACCAGCCUGGUCCUCUUAGCUUUUCUGGUCUAUGAGCUCAGGCAAAAUGGCCAGGCAGGCCCCAGGCCACCUCAGCCCAGCUUAGCCCAGUCCACUCUAGCUUAGUUCAGCCUAGCCCAGUGCAACCCUGUUCACCUCAGUCCAGCCCAGCCAAGCUCAUCCCAGCCCACCUCAGUCCAGCCCAGCACAGCCCAGCCCAGCCCAGGUUAGCCCAGCCAAGCCUAGUUCAACCCAGUUCAGCCCAGCCCAGCCUAGCUCAGCCCAGCCAAGCUCAGCCCAGUUCAGCUCAGCCCAGCUCAGCCCAGCCAAGCUCAGCCCAGCUCAGCCUAGCCCAGUCUAGCUCAGCCCAGCCCAGCUCAGCCCAGCCCAGCUCAGCCUAGUCCAGUCUAGCUCAGCCCAGCCCAGCUCAGCCCAGCCCAGCUCAGCCUAGUCCAGUCUAGCUCAGCCCAGCCCAGCUCAGCCUAGCUUAGCCAAGUUCAGCCCAGCUCCCGCCCAGCCCAGCUUAGCCCUGCCCAGUUCAGCCCAGCCCAGCCCAACUCAGCUCAGCCCAGCCCAGCCCAGCUCAGCCCAGCAUGGCCCAGCCCAGGUUAGCCGAGCCAAGCCUGGUUUAACCCAGUUCAGGCCAGCCCAGCCCAGCUCAGCCCAGCCAAGCUCAGCCCAGUUCAGCCCAGCCCAGCCCAGCCCAGCCCUGCCCGGCUCAGCCCAGCCCAGCUCAGCCCAGCACAGCCCAGCCCAGCCCAGGUUAGCCCAGGUUAGCCCAGGUUAGCCCAGCCAAGCCUAGUUCAACCCAGUUCAGCCCAGCCCAGCCCAGCCCAGGUUAGCCCAGGUUAGCCCAGGUUAGCCCAGCCAAGCCUAGUUCAACCCAGUUCAGCCCAGCCCAGCCCAGGUGAGCCCAGCCAAGCCUGGUUCAACCCAGUUCAGCCCAGCCCAGCCUAGCUCAGCCCAGCCCAGUCCAGCCAGCCCAGCUCCAGGUCCAUGACUUCUAAAGCAGGAUGUGCUUUGUGGGUUCAAGCUUGUGGCAUUUGGGGAAUCACAUAUGGGGGCCUCGAGGCAGAGCAGAGAGGACUUGCAGGACUGUGCAGCUGACAGGAUUUGACAUAGAGACAACUGUGGAAACCCGAGUGUGGAAGGCGUGACUCUGGGUCUCAGCAGCCACCUGCUGGGCAGAUUACACCAGCAGCGCCCCACCGUGGGGCCAGGCGCAGGUCACGGCCAGUGCUGGGAUGUCCUGCAAAAAAUCCGGGUUGACCACACACCACCCAGGUCAGCACGUGGUCCCCAUGGUUGCUGGAGGCAGCUCAGGCUCCAGAGCACUGACUGUGUGCAUCGCUCUCGCUCCACGUUCUAAGCCCUAACACCAGUGGUUUGCAACCAGCCACGGUGGGAGUGUGUGCGGAUGCUGCAGACCAGCCCUGCCCCUUCUGAGAGUCCCUUGUUAAGCAAUUACCAGCACAUUGCUGACUGGCCGAGUCACUAACAUACUAGGGUAUUUUGAUGUUCCCCCCAGAGGACUCUCUGCCCCAUUCCUGUCCAUGCUGGGGUACUGGUUGGCACAGGGGAAGGUGGCACCUGGCUGUGGGCUGCAGGUGGUACAGAAACCUGUGCUCCCCGCGAGGAGCUGGAGUUGGAGCUGGCCACGUGUGGCAUCAUCUGUUGGAAGGCAUUGGAGACCUUGACUAGGAGCAGCCCCUGAGUGGCCUGACUGCUGGACCAGCUGCAAGCUGAGUCCUAGCCCUCGAGGAGUGGGGCCCCCAUCAUCCAGGACCUGGCGCCCGCAUCUGCAGAGGGCUGGGCUCCAUGCUGGGGCCAGAACACAGGGAGCAUGAAGGACUCAGAGACCCGCCUGCGGCCAUAGCACAGGGUAGCCAGCAGGGGACAGCUGGGCCGAGGGGGUGCCGGACGCAGGUGCCAGCCGCCUAGCAGGGCCCUCUUUCUGUCCUCUAUUCAAGGUGGCAGUCUGAAAGACCCCCCCACCCAGACAGCCCUCUGCGAUCUGCGAAGUGAGCAGAGCUGCAUGUGCUGCUCAUCCUUCACCCCUUCAUUCAUUCACUUGGAAGCACCCAGUGAGCACUGUGAAGUCGUGGGCGCUGGUCCAGUGGUGACUGAGGGCAGUGGUGGGUGCCAGGUCCAGUGGUGACCGAGGGCAGUGUCCUCAGGGACUCACGGUUGGCUGUCCUUAGGGACUCACGGUUGGCUGUGGGGACACAGUGGUGUGCACCGGGUCCAGCGGUGACCGAGGGCAGUGGUGGGUGUCGGGUCCAGUGGUGACCGAGGGCAGUGGUGGGCGACGUGUCCAGUGGCGACCGAGGGCAGUGGUGGGUGCUGGGUUCAGUGGUGACCGAGGGUGUCAGUCCUCAGGUAGUCACAGUUAGCUGUGGGGACACAGUGGUGUAUGCCAGGUCCAGUGGUGACCGAGGGCAGUGGUGGGCGCUGGUCCAUUGGUGACCAAGGGUACUCGUCUUCAGGGACUCACAGCUGGGGGGGCACCAAUGAGCAAAGAAAGAAGAAAGAACAAAAGGAAGAUGGGUGGGUGCAGCACAUGCUGCUGGGGCCAGGAGGAGCCUCACCCUGUUGUUCCAGGCCCGGCACCCCCAGCCUGUUCCGGGAAAACUGUCUGGCAAGGCAGGCCUGACCUUGCCCAGGCCACGCUGGCCCCUCUCCCUCUGAACCUCGUGGCUCAUGGCCCAGGACCCGAUGGCAGCGAGCCCAUGGGGGUGAGCCUGGGAAGGAUGCUCUGUGUGGAUGGGGAGUGGCAGGGGCAGGAUUGUGGUCUGGGCUUAGGAGGGGGAGUCCUGCGUGCCCCGGGGAGGCUGACUUUUCGGCAUUAGAAGGAAAUUUGCCUUGAAAAAGAACCUGGGACAGUGCCUGAAAGACACAACUGGGAGGGUCCGAGGCUGGCCAACCCCAGAACUGAGUUCUUGGCCAGCUGCCCAGGGCACCUGGCUUGGUAGGAGGCUGGAGAGGCACUAGAGCCCGCUGAGGAUGUCCGGCCCUCGCACUCUCUGGCUGCCCUGGGUGCACCCACCUGCCAAAUGCAGACUUCUCAGCACCCCUCAAGCCUGCCUGAUUCCCCUGCUGGGAAGAGCACGCCAGCACUCCUGACCUGGAGCUGUCCUUCUCAGCACGUGGUCUCAGAGAGCGGGCGGUGGGUGAGACCAUGCGGGGGUCGUUGGGUAUAAAAUGGAUUGAUCUUGAGCUGUGGUUCAUCUCCGUGAGCACCAGAGCGUGGAGCUAAAAGAUGGCUUCAUCUACGGAGGACAAAAUUUACUUUCAAUAUCUCACUUUAUGGGGGAUAUGAACUGUGAGUUUAGGAGCCAAGUCCAGCAUGCUAAAAAUCUUCCAAGCUGUUUCAUUUUCUUAUCUCCAAGGAACCGGUGAGAAUAUGUGGGUAAGUAUUGGAAUCUGACACGUACAGCUCAUAGGCAGAUGGGAUCCUUCAAGGUGGUUUAGACGCGUCCUCUGGGCUGGCAGCAAAUCACUUCUGGGCUCCACUGUUUGCCACCUUUGCUGUGGAACACAGCGGAACCUGCAGCAUCUGGGCUGGGAUUGGACUUCAGAGGGUGCACAUGUGGUUUUUGUGGGCAGUUUUUCUCAGUGGCCUUUUUAUUGAGGAAUAACAUACAUACGGAAAGGUUCCCAAAUCAUAGAUGUAUGGCUUGAUGCAUUUUAAAAAGUGGACACACCCUGAAACUUCCAUCCAGACAAAGAGACAUGGUGUUUGCAGCACCCCAUCUCGCAGGCCCCCUUAGAGGGAACCGCUAUUCUGACUUUCAUGACCGUGAAUGAGGUUUGCCUGGGAUUGAACUUUACAUACAUGAAAUCGUAAGCUAUGGACCCUUUAGUGUCUGGCUUCUUUUGCUCAAGUUAGAUUUGUGAGAUUCGUCUAGAUCAUUAUGGGCAGAAAUUCUUUCUUUCUCCAUGGCUGUCUUCGAUGGUCUGAGUACACUUCUUUUUAAACAAAUUUAAUUUAAUUUUAAGUUCCGGUAUCCGUGUGUGGGACGUGCAGGUUUGUUACAUAGGUAAAUGUGUGCCAUGGUGGUUUGCUGCACCCAUCAGCCCAUCACCCAGGUAUUAAGCCCAGCACACAUUCGCUAUUUAUCCUGCUUGAGGGUCUCUCUCUUCUCACGCAUGAACAGCGUUGUUCUUUUGCAUAGUUCAGGGCUGUGGGGCAUAGUGUGGCCCCGCGUUCAUGUGCGUGUCUCAUGGUGAACACAGGCAGGCGUUGGGCAUAAAUCCAACCAUCACACAUGCAUUGCAAAUAUCUACUCACAGUUUCUGGCUUAGUUUUAAUUCUCUUAACAGUGUCCCUUGAUAAACAGGCAUUCUUAACUUUAACAAAGUCCAAAGUUUCCAUCUUUCCAUUAGUCUUCAGAAAAAUAAGUAGCAUUUAACAAUUCUAUUUUCUAUUUGUGUUACUGGUAUAUUGGGAUACAAUGUUUCAUGCUAACCACAUAUCUUGUGUCUUGCUAAAUUCUCAUAUUAACUGUAACAAUUUAGCUGUAGAUUCUUUUGGAUUUUCUACAUGCACAAUUGUGUUACCUGUAACUAAUUACAGUUUCAUGUCUUUAUUUCCAGUCCCAUACUUUUGCUUUCCUUUCCUACCUUCUCAUCCUGGCCUGGGCCUCCACCACCACAUUUGACAGAAAUGAAAAUAGCAGACUCUUGUCUCAUUCCUGACAUCAGGGGAAAACUUUUGACAUUUUAUCAGGAAGUGUGUUGGCUGUAGGCUUUAGGCUUUUUGAUGAUAUCUGUAUCAUAUUAAGAAAGUUACUUUCUCAGACUUCUUUUACUUUUACAGCCUGGGCAACAGAGCAAGACUCCAUCUCACACACACACACACACACACACAAAGUUAUUUUCUCGGACUUUUUAUCCUGAAGAGUGUUGAAUUUUAUCAAUGCUUUUCCUGAAUUUACUGAGAUUAUUAAAUGGUUUUUCUUUUUUAUUCUUUUAAUGUAAUGCAUUACAUUUGUUGAUUUUCAAAUAUUAAACUAACUCUUUAUUUUUGUAAUGAACCCAAUUUGGUUGUGAUGUUUUAUCUACUUUAUAUUUCUGGAUUUAAUUUUCUAAUAUUUUGAUGAGAGUUUUGUGCCUAUGUUCACAAGACAGAUUAACCUAUGAUACUCAUUUUUUAUAGUUUUCUUCUCAAGUUUUAGGGUGAAUUAAUAAUGGCCUCAUAAAAUGAACUGGGGGGUGUAUUAGUCUGUUUUCACACUGCUAUAAUGAAAUACCUGAGACUGGGUAAUUUAUAAAGGAAAGAGGUUUGAUUGACUCACAGUUCCACAUGGCUGGGGAGGCCUCUGGAAACUUAUGAUCAUGGCAGAAGGGGAAGAGGCACAUCUUGCGUGGCGGCAGGCGAGAGAGAGCAUGCGAAGGGAGCUAAGGGGGAAGAGUCUCUUACAAAACUAUCAACUCUCAUGAGAACACCCUCACUAGCAUGAGAACAGCAUGGGGGGAAGCUGCCCCCAUAAUCCAAUCACCUCCCACCAGGUUCCUCCCUCAACACCUGGGGAUUACAAUUUAAGAUGAGAUUUGGGUGAGGAUACAAAGCCAAACCAUAACAAGGGAUAUUUCUUUUUUUCCUGUUUUCUGGAAGAAUUUUAUAAGAUUUGUGUUAGUUCAUCUUUAAAUAUUUGAAAAUAUUUAUCUUACGUGUUCUGGGCCUAGAGUUUUUCUGUGGAAAGGUUUAAAAUUAAUGAUUCAAUUAAUUUAUUUAUUAUGCAUAGGACUACUUACAUACUCUAUUUCUUCUUGUGUCUCUUGUUAUAUUUGUUUUUCUAAGAAUGUGUCCAUUUCAUUUGACUUAUUGAUUUGUUUGGCAGAAAGCCAUUUGUCAUACUUCAUAAUAUUUGUAAUGUCUGUGGGGUCUUUAGUAGUAAUCCCUUCUUAAUCUCUACUAUUGCCAGCAUGUGCCAUAUUAUUUUGUGUGUGUGUGUGUGUGUGUUUUUGAGAUGGAGUUUUGCUCUCGUCACCCAGGCCAGAGUGUAGUGGCAUGAUCUCAGCUCACUGCAAUCUCUGUUUCCCGGGUUCAAGUGAUUCUCCUGCCUCAGCCUCCCAAGUAGCUGGGAUUACAGGCACCAGCCACCACACCUGGCUAAUUUUUGUAUUUUUAGUAGAGAUGAGGUUUCAACAUGUUGUCCAGGCUGGUCUUGAACUCCUGACCUCAGGUGAUCCACCCACCUCAGCCUCCCAAGUGCUGGGAUUACGGGCAUGAGCCACUGUGCCCAGACUAUUUUGUGCUAUUUUUUUAUUAGUCUUGGGCAGUCAAUAUUAUUAAUCUGUACAAAAACCCACCUUUCUAUUGACAUUUGUUUUAUUAAUUAUGUUCUCCUUUUAUCCCUGUUAGUUCCCUCUUUCUAUUUUCUUUGGGUUUAAUUCGCUCCUCUUUUUCUAAUGCUCCCACAAGGCUGUACUUACAUUGUUGCAAGUUUUUUCUUUCUAAGCACAAAAUUUCACUCUAAGCACAGUUUUAACUGGAUCCUACAAGUUUGAUAGGUUAUAUUUGUAUUAUCAGUCAGUGUAAAGAUUUUCUAAUUUCCAUUUAUGGUUCAUCUUCGACCCAUGGGUUAUGCAGAGGUAUAUUGUUUAAUUCCUAAACACUUGGAAGACUUUUUAGUUGCUUUUAUCAGCAUCCAUUUCCAGCUUAAUUCUACUGUAGUCUGAGAAUGUAUUCUGAAUUACUGCAGUCCUUUGAAAUGUAUUGGAACCAGCUCCUUGGCCCAGCACAGUGUCAGUUUUGGUCACCAUGUGGGCUUAAACAGGAGGGCAUGUUAGCAGAGGGACCAGACACACGAGGGUUGUGAGGAGGGAGUGUGCCAGGCCAUGUGCCUGGAGCGUGAGGAGCAGGGAAAGGGCGUGAACGCUGAGGUCAGAACAUGUGGGGCCUUGCAGGUCGGUGCUUCGACUUCUACUCUAAGAGGGAUUGACAUCUGCUGUGGAUGCCAAAUGGAAGACGACAUGAUGUGACUUCAGGUUUACCAAGGCCACCUUGGCUUCUGUGUUGUGGGUGGAGCUUGGGGGCCACGUGAGAGAAGGUGGUGGUGAUUCAGGCUGUGGAGAGAGUAGUGGAGACGACAGGCAUGUUCCAAUUCUGGAAACCUUUCAGGGGUGGAGCCAGGAGCAUUUGCUAAGAAAUUAGAAUUGGAGUAAUAAAGAAAUAGAGGAGCCAAAUGAUCUAGAAAUUAUCUAAAUUUGGUUUAAAUAAACACCGAAGCAAUUACCUUUCUUCUUUAAAAAAUUUUAACAUUGUCACCCAAAAUGUAAUUCCUACAACUUCUUCUUUUGGGGAGAAUAGUUUGAAGCAUGUUUUAAACAUUGAGAGAUAAAAUAUAUGAGAUAAAAGUGCCUUAAUCAAAAAUGUGCAGCUUAACAGAAAAUCAUACGGUGGACUCCUGUGUGGCCACCACCGGGUCCUGACUCACAGUUUUGACGGCAUCCAGGUGCACCCUCACCUUUUCUUAAUGCCAGAGGGACCCACAUCCUAACUUUUGUAUUAAAAUUGUAAUGAUUAGAAAAGAAGGAAGAAACAAAAUAACCUUUUCAGUAUGAUUUCAUUUAUAUAAAGUGAUUUUUUUUGAAUUUAUUGAGAUGUUUGGUGUGAAUGACUACAGAGUUAAUUUCUUUUUUAGAGAUGAGGUCUUGCUCUGUCAUCCAGGCUGGAGUGCAGUGGCACAAUCAUAGCUCACCGUAGCCUCAAACUCCAGAGCUUAAGCAAUCCUCCUGCCUCGGCCUCCCAGGGUGGUAGGAUUACAGGUGUGAGCCACUAUGCCUGGCCAAUGGUUAAUUUUUUAAAAGCACAUGGGUGUUGGAAAAGAAGGUGUAUCCACUGCUUGCCGAGCACAAAGUAUAUUAUACAGUUGAACUAAAUAUAUGACAUCACGAAGUUUUACACAAUUGUAUGCAUAUUUUAAAUUUUAUUGAGGAUAAAAUUAAAAAUAUAAUAAAAUCAUCUCUAUCUUUGUGUGACUGAACGGGUUUAACUGGACAAACUCAGGGGCAAGGAGUCUACUGUGCUUUCCUGAAUCAAACAUAGUUUCCGGGUGUGGAAACUUGCCUCUCAGCCACCCCUAGGCGCCGUCUCCAGCCUGUCUGCUCACUUCAAGCCCUGAAGGUCCCUUGAUGCC